GAUGAACGCUGGCGGCGUGCCUAAUACAUGCAAGUCGAGCGAACAGACGAGGAGCUUGCUCCUCUGACGUUAGCGGAGGACGGGUGAGUAACACGUGGAUAACCUACCUAUAAGACUGGGAUAACUUCGGGAAACCGGAGCUAAUACCGGAUAACAUGUUGAACCGCAUGGUUCAACAGUGAAAGACGGUCUUGCUGUCACUUAUAGAUGGAUCCGCGCCGCAUUAGCUAGUUGGUAAGGUAACGGCUUACCAAGGCAACGAUGCGUAGCCGACCUGAGAGGGUGAUCGGCCACACUGGAACUGAGACACGGUCCAGACUCCUACGGGAGGCAGCAGUAGGGAAUCUUCCGCAAUGGGCGAAAGCCUGACGGAGCAACGCCGCGUGAGUGAAGAAGGUCUUCGGAUCGUAAAACUCUGUUAUUAGGGAAGAACAAAUGUGUAAGUAACUAUGCACGUCUUGACGGUACCUAAUCAGAAAGCCACGGCUAACUACGUG
rnacentral:rRNA from 1 species